UACGAAGGGGGCUAGCGUUGCUCGGAAUGACUGGGCGUAAAGCGCACGUAGGCGGCUUUGUAAGUUAGAGGUGAAAGCCCAGGGCUUAACCCUGGAAUUGCCUUUAAGACUGCAUCGCUAGAAUCGUGGAGAGGUGAGUGGAAUUCCGAGUGUAGAGGUGAAAUUCGUAGAUAUUCGGAAGAACACCAGUGGCGAAGGCGACUCACUGGACACGUAUUGACGCUGAGGUGGCGAAAGCGUGGGGAGCAAACAGG
rnacentral:rRNA from 1 species